ACAGGAAAGCAACUUGCAAACAAAAUGAAGCUAAAAAGAGUGACGUGUCUGCGCAUGAGCUCGCUCCAGUUGUUGUUGCGACACCUACACGCACAACAACAAUAACACUGCCUCCCAGCCUUCAUAACAGCCCUGGGCCUAUCACAAGGAGGUAACUAUUAUAUUGCUAUGGCCAUAGCUGGAGACGAUGCAUCACAGCCAUGUGGGACAACUAUUGAUUCUGUAGCAUCACCUACUUCUCACUUCCCUUCACGCUCUACAACAUGCAAGAAAAAGUUGACCCCAAAGAGGAAGAAGCUCUAAUCUUAGUGCAUUGAAUUGCUAUUUUAAAUUCUGAGAUGUGUUGAAAUUUGUCAAUUUCAGACAAAUUUCAAAGAUAUUUUUUCCUUGAUGUAAACUCGGAUUAAUUUAUCAUUUCAUUUGAACCGAGCAACCUUUUUGUGGCAUCAGUUUGUGAUUUCGGUGUGAUCUAUUCUCUCAAUUCCAUGUGCUAAGUGAACAUAUGUUGUCGGUCUAUUUUGUUUUAUCUAUGAAGCUGUUAUAUGCUGCCAAUUU